rnacentral:rRNA from 1 species
AUUGAACGCUGGCGGCAGGCUUAACACAUGCAAGUCGAGCGGGGUGAUGGUGCUUGCACUAUCACUUAGCGGCGGACGGGUGAGUAAUGCUUAGGAAUCUGCCUAUUAGUGGGGGACAACAUCUCGAAAGGGAUGCUAAUACCGCAUACGUCCUACGGGAGAAAGCAGGGGAUCACUUGUGACCUUGCGCUAAUAGAUGGGCCUAGGUGGGAUUAGCUAGUUGGUGGGGUAAAGGCCUACCAAGGCGACGAUCUGUAGCGGGUCUGAGAGGAUGAUCCGCCACACGGGGACUGAGACACGGCCCAGACUCCUACGGGAGGCAGCAGUGGGGAAUAUUGGACAAUGGGGGGAACCCUGAUCCAGCCAUGCCGCGUGUGUGAAGAAGGCCUUAUGGUUGUAAAGCACUUUAAGCGAGGAGGAGGCUCUUUUGGUUAAUCCCCAAGAUGAGUGGACGUUACUCGCAGAAUAAGCACCGGCUAACUCUGUGCCAGCAGCCGCAGUAA